GACGGGUGAGUAAUGCCUAGGAAUCUGCCUGGUAGUGGGGGAUAACGUCCGGAAACGGACGCUAAUACCGCAUACGUCCUACGGGAGAAAGCAGGGGACCUUCGGGCCUUGCGCUAUCACAUGAGCCUAGGUCGGAUUAGCUAGUUGGUGGGGUAAUGGCUCACCAAGGCGACGAUCCGUAACUGGUCUGAGAGGAUGAUCAGUCACACUGGAACUGACACACGGUCCAGACUCCUACGGGAGGCAGCAGUGGGGAAUAUUGGACAAUGGGCGAAAGCCUGAUCCAGCCAUGCCGCGUGUGUGAAGAAGGUCUUCGGAUUGUAAAGCACUUUAAGUUGGGAGGAAGGGCAGGAAAUUAAUACUUUGCUGUUUUGACGUUACCGACAGAAUAAGCACCGGCUAACUCUGUGCCAACAGCCGCGGUAAUACAGAGGGUGCAAGCGUUAAUCGGAAUUACUGGGCGUAAAGCGCGCGUAGGUGGUUCGUUAAGUUGGAUGUGAAAUCCCCGGGCUCAACCUGGGAACUGCAUUUCAAAACUUGACGA
rnacentral:rRNA from 1 species